GACAUUGACGAGGAAGCGUUACUCACCAUUAUUAGGCGUAAAGAAUGGCUAAAUAACGUAAAUAUUGUAUUUCAAAUCAAAGAAUUAACAUAAUCGAAUACAAAAUUUUACUGUUAAAAAUUUAAAGAGGUUUACGAUAAGUAUAAUUUAGAGAUAAAAUUCUGAUAAAUUAUAAAGAUCUUCAAAAGUCGCGACAGUAUUCCAUUUAUUAUUUUAUAUUUAACCAUUAAGGUAUAAUUAUCAAUCAGG
rnacentral:rRNA from 1 species